rnacentral:rRNA from 1 species
AACGAACGCUGGCGGCGUGCUUAACACAUGCAAGUCGAACGCGAAAGGGGCUUCGGUCCCGAGUAGAGUGGCGCACGGGUGAGUAACGCGUAAGUAAUCUACCCCCGCAUUCGGAAUAACUCGUCGAAAGGUGAGCUAAUACCGGAUACGUUUAUCUUGAUGCGAAUGAUGAUAAAGAAAGGUGGCCUCUUCAUGAAAGCUACUGUGCAGGGAUGAGCUUGCGCACCAUUAGCUAGUUGGUAGGGUAAUGGCCUACCAAGGCGACGAUGGUUAGCGGGUCUGAGAGGAUGGUCCGCCACACUGGAACUGGAACACGGACCAGACUCCUACGGGAGGCAGCAGUGAGGAAUAUUGCGCAAUGGGGGCAACCCUGACGCAGCGACGCCGCGUGGAUGAUGAAGGCCCUUGGGUCGUAAAAUCCUGUCAGAUGGAAAGAAAUGUAUGGGUGUUAAUAUCGCCUGUAUUUGACGGUACCAUCAAAGGAAGCACCGGCUAACUCCGUGCCAGCCGCCGCGGUAAAAC